rnacentral:rRNA from 1 species
CCUACGGGGGGCUGCAGUGGGGAAUAUUGGGCAAUGGAGGAAACUCUUACCCAGCAAUGCCGCGUGAGUGAAUUAGAAGGUCUUCGGAUUGUAAAGCUCUUUGAUUAGGGAAGAUAAUGACGUGUACCUAAAGAACAAGCCCCGGCUAACUAUGUGCCAGCAGCCGCGGUAAUACAUAGGGGGCAAGCGUUGUCCGGAAUGACUGGGCGUAAAGGGUGCGUAGGUGGUGUACCAAGUUGGAAGUGUAAUACCCAGAGCUUAACUCGGGUGCUGCUUCCAAAACUGGUUUACUUGAGUGUCGGAGGGGAAAGUGGAAUUCCUAGUGUAGCGGUGGAAUGCGUAGAUAUUAGGAGGAACACCGGUGGCGAAAGCGGCUUUCUGGACGACAACUGACACUGAGGCACGAAAGCGUGGGGAGCAAACAGGAUUAGAUACCCCUGUAGUC